UACGGGGGGAGCAAGCGUUGUUCGGAUUUACUGGGCGUAAAGGGCGCGUAGGCGGCCUGUGCAAGUCAGUUGUGAAAUCUCCGGGCUUAACUCGGAACGGUCAACUGAUACUGCUCGGCUAGAGUGCGGAAGGGGCAACUGGAAUUCUCGGUGUAGAGGUGAAAUUCGUAGAUAUCAAGAGGAACACCUGCGGCGAAGGCGGGUUGCUGGGCCGACACUGACGCUGAGGCGCGAAAGCUAGGGGAGCAAAUGGG
rnacentral:rRNA from 1 species